rnacentral:lncRNA from 1 species
CAUUACUUCCAUAAUAACCUCCUUGAUUCUGGCAUGCACAUAAGUAGAGACCAAACAUGCUUUGAGUUACAACCUUAUUUGAUCUAACUAAUUAACUCAACAUGUUCAUUUCUUUAUGCUUGUUCCUAGCGUUACUUUCUUUGCCUUAUAGCCUUUAACUCAAUGAUCUAGAAUGUUGAGCAUCCUGUCCUUGGAAGAUGAUAGUCAUAAUCAUGAAGUUAUAUGCAUAUGUAGACUAUCCUUCCAUAAGGUUGAUUAAUCUGAUCUGCCAAGUGUGUUUAAUGCCACAUUUCUGCUCAUUGCUUGAUGCUAUUGCCCAUGUUUAGAUAGAGCAUAACAUAUGAAUAACAAAUUUAUCUCGUUCAAUGUGCCUAAGGUUAGGGAAUAAGGAACAAACCUUUUGGUUUUAUUGGUGGUUUCCCAUCAACAGAGCCCAUGCACUUGAUCUCUGCCUUGUCUCUAUGAGCAAGACACACUUUAGUCAACUCCUCGAGAAUCCUACAAGUGAAGAUCCUAGACUUAUGAACAUGCACACUGAGCGAAGAUGCUACUAGCUCCUAGAACUAGGACUUGACUCACCUGUGGGAAGAGCAAUAACCAUGGGUGACAUCAUCUCAAGAGGUGCAACUAUCAUGGUCUCUACCCUUGGGACCAGAUAAAGCACAUGAGGAAUUAACAUGGUAAGAAGGUCCUCUUCGGAGGACUUAAAAUCACAGAACGCCGCGCCAAGAGGUAACUUGGUAUUUAUCUACAUUUUUCCUUUAGCAUAUUUAUUUUUCUUAACUACAUCAUUAAUUGCAUCUUUAAUUUAUUUCUACUUUAGAAAAGAAAAUAAACAUGUUUUGCAUUGCAUCUAGAAAAUACUAAGUCCCAUGUAUUUAAUAUGUGGUGCAACAGCUCACAUACUUAUCUACUGUGGAGGCACAAAAAUAAUUUUUAGCAUAUUUAUUUCCCUGUCUACAUACCAUAAAUAUGAAAAGUAUAAAAAUAUUUUGAUCCCACUAAAAGACAAAUGGGCAUAAGAAAGUUCUAGACUCCCAAGGCUUAGAGGUUUAUUACUAAUGCUUAAUUAGUUCUACAAGCUUUGUUGUGUAUUUGAACUUCACAGGCUUUAAAGGAUCAUGAAAAAUUAACAGGCAGAAGAACAUCCUGUCCCCUGGCAGAGUACUGUUUACAGCAGACAAGUGUUGUUUCUAAUAGCAAGCACCCACGACACUCCAUGAGGAUCAGUACGCCUUCAUUGCCCGUCAGCAGCCUCAGCAGACUAUGUCAGCAUCUAGUUUGGGGGAGAGCAAUCCCCGUAUACCGAGCUAAGUAUCCCUUACUCACUUAUCUAUUUAUUCCUAGUGCGUUAUGACAAGAUAAAAAGAUGAAUAACUUUAGAAAUCCAAUAAAUAUUUUAUCUUUCAUAAUUAAUCUUGCUAGGAGAGCUCUUGAUGAAUCUGUUAAAAUGAAUCUCUAGAAUAAACUCUUACAUGGAGAUGAUGAAUAGUUGCUCUACUGUAAUUCCUUGUAGGUACCUAGUUUUCAACCUUGUACUCUCUUGAGUUUUAGACACAACUGUUAAACUUAAGAUUUUUCUCUAAGCCAAGAACUUGUGGGUAGCAAAUGCUUGAUCUAAGUCUAGGUAGUUGAUGGAUAUGAUAUGGGAAGGUUUUUGAGCUGCUAUUAAUCUUGCUCCUAGAGAUGCUAGAGUUCUGGAGAAUUUUAUUUUGAAAAUAUUAAAUUGCUACAUGAUGAGUUCCUUUAUGAUGAGAGUUUAAAUUCCUACCAUAGCCAAAUACUCAUACUUGCUAGAUUAGGAAAACCUCCACUUAUAUUUCAACCUAUAAACAUUGAGGGUAGUUAAGCUGUGUAGACUCUAAGAAACUAGUCAUGCAGUUAAAGUCAAUAUUAUGUGCUCUCCAUCCAUUGACCUUAGCUACUUCUGUCCCUAGAAGUAUGUAACCACUUACUUCCACCAUAUUCAUUAUGUGCUACUUCUGUUCCUAGAAGUACCACCCACAUAUACGCAUUACACUCUGUGUUAUUUCUAUCAUGGAGACAUGCACCUAUGAUGCUCCUACCCUGGGAGUACGCAUUCAUUCACCCAUACACAUUCCACAUCCACUCAGAAAAUGUUCUACUCCUACACUUGGAGAAGACACCCAAAAAUAUUCAAUGUCAUAUUCUACUAAUCUAAUAAAGCUCCAGUUAUUUAAGUUGAUACUCCCUAUUGUUAUCAGUGCAAUAAAAGGAUGGCUGAUCUAUAAAAAAAGAGACAAAAAGAAAGAAAGAGGACAAAAGUCCCAAUGAAAAAAAAAAGAAAGACAACCAAGUCCUUGUUCUUAGAUUAGGAAGGUAUGUUAUCCUCAAGGAGCAAUUGUAGAAUUAGAUGUUCACUAUCAAUUAUCACCCCUCAUAACCACUUCCAUUCUUAUCACUCACUUCAUUCACUGCACUCAUAUGUACAUAUGACUUGAUUGUAUAAUUAGUUUCUCUGGAUCCAUGGUUUAACUAUGCAAUAUAUGCAAAUAGGUUUGAAUUGUUGUCGCACCCAGUUUUGUUAACAAAACCAAGUACUCAAAUAUGUGCGCCUAGGAUGUCCAAACACACAUACUAUCACAAAUUGUAAAUAUAUCAAAGUAAAGUACUUUAUUACAUCGUAUAUUCAUCAUAACAUCUCAUAUAGUCUUGCUCACUGGCAACAUUAUUACACAAAGCGGAAAGCUAAGCCCUUGUUGCCACAGGGACCCCAAAUGGUGAACUCCAGCACUCUAGAAGUAGACAUCUUCAGGGAAUUCCUCAUUACAAACAUCUGUUACCCAUCCAGGAUUUUCAUUGAAUUAUAAACAAGUGUAAGCGCACCAUGCUUAGCAAGUAUAACAUAGGGGUAUAUGAAGGAUCAAAGGCUUGACUCAGUUUAACAGUAGUUAGCAUUUUUAGUUGGUCAUAUUUUAUUAUCAAAACUUUAUACUUUUAAUGAUAAUCCAACCCUGGUUGCAUAAGUUUUAAUCAAAGUUAAUACUUUUCCCAAAUGAGACCAAGUAACUGCUAACCAAGAAGGAUCCAGGCCGCUCAUGACCGAGAGCUCGGCUAUUAUAACAGGUUUUAGAUUUCUGUAGAAAUUGUACGACUUUACCCCCGAGCCAUGAUUCCCAAGAGUCAGGGUUUGCAAGGCCCACACCACUUCUCCAGAGGAAGUGUGAUAGGGUUUCACCACUUAACCUUUCACUAGUCACCCUAACAAAAUAGUAGCCGCGAGGUUUCAGUGGCAAGUGUGCACAGAUGACCUCCUUCAAGAGGCACAUGUGGUCGUGGCACUGUACACACCAUGGUAGGAGAGACACCUAUACACCACGAGGCACCCACCUCUAGCACCUUUCGGUAACCACUAAUUUGCUAGAGACAUACUAGUUAUAUGAUUAAGGUCAGAGCCAUUUAACUCUCGGGAUUGUACGUGACCUCCAAGGUGGCCGCUUCAGGAAUAAGUCCUUAUGGAGAGGAAUCUAGAGCUUUCAAAACCCAAGCUCUAGCCCCCUGAACCAAGUUACUAGAACAUAUUUUAUCAUAUUGCAUAUACCAAUUAAUCAGGUUAAUUUAUUAACUUGGGUUUUAGCAUAGCAGCAGCUAUCUAAAUAAAUGCACACCUUCCCAUUAGUAUCAAGGAUAUAUGGUACAAAAUUAUCUUGGUAAAGUCCCUAUAGACAUUUCAAUUCAGACACAUGCAUAUAUAUAUGCAUUAAAUAAUAUUCAUAGGUACAAGGAAUGCCUUUGUUACACUUGCCUUCCUCAAAAGUUUCCUCCUGGUAGAGCUCAACAAACUGCUCCUCAACAACCCCAACCUGAUCUCCUUCUAUUCCUGAUCCAAACACCAAUCAAGCAUUCAAUCCAAUCAUCACAUGCAUACAAAUAUUGUUCUAUUAGAACAGUACAACAAACAGUAAAAACAGUGAAAGAGAUGUAUGUAAAUCUAUUCUACGCAUUUCUACGAACACAUGAGCGAAAGAAUCACUUUAAUCAGAGUUAAAACGUGAAAGUUAUGCAUAAAACAAGUUGAAUGGUAUUUCUAUGAAUAAAAUGAAUCAAAAAAGAAUUUAAAAGAAUGAAAACUGAAUUUUCUAACGGUUCUGGACUACGCGCACUAUUAUAGAAAAGUGCAAUGUUUA